rnacentral:rRNA from 1 species
UACGUAGGCAGCAAGCGUUGUUCGGAAUUACUGGGCGUAAAGAGUGUGUAGGCGGUGCUCUAAGUCUGUUGUGAAAUCUCCCGGCUUAACCGGGAGGGUGCGGCGGAAACUGGAGUGCUUGAGGGUGGGAGAGGUAAGCGGAAUUCCUGGUGUAGCGGUGAAAUGCGUAGAUAUCAGGAGGAACACCUGUGGUGUAGACAGCUUACUGGACCACUUCUGACGCUGAUGCGCGAAAGCUAGGGGAGCAAACGGG